rnacentral:rRNA from 1 species
AACAGGAUUAGAUACCCUGGUAGUCCACGCCGUAAACGUUGGGCGCUAGAUGUAGGGACCUUUCCACGGUUUCUGUGUCGUAGCUAACGCAUUAAGCGCCCCGCCUGGGGAGUACGGCCGCAAGGCUAAAACUCAAAGGGAUUGACGGGGGCCCGCACAAGCGGCGGAGCAUGCGGAUUAAUUCGAUGCAACGCGAAGAACCUUACCAAGGCUUGACAUACACCGGAAACGGCCAGAGAUGGUCGCCCCCUUGUGGUCGGUGUACAGGUGGCGCAUGGUUGUCGUCAGCUCGUGUCGUGAGGUGUUGGGUUAAGUCCCGCAACGAGCGCAACCCUCGUUCUAUGUUGCCAGCGCGUUAUGGCGGGGACUCAUAGGAGACUGCCGGGGUCAACUCGGAGGAAGGUGGGGAUGACGUCAAAUCAUCAUGCCCCUUAUGUCUUGGGCUUCACGCAUGCUACAAUGGCCGGUACAAAGGGCUGCGGUACCGUAAGGUGGAGCGAAUCCCAAAAAGCCGGUCUCAGUUCGGAUUGAGGUCUGCAACUCGACCUCAUGAAGUCGGAGUCGCUAGUAAUCGCAGAUCAGCGACGCUGCGGUGAAUACGUUCCCGGGCCUUGUACACACCGCCCGUCAAGUCAUGAAAGUCGGUAACACCCGAAGCCGGUGGCCUAACCCUUGUGGAAGGAGCCGUCGAAGGUGGGAUCGGUGAUUAGGACUAAGUCGUAACAAGGUAACC